UUGGACGGUCAUAGGGGCCUGGUUCACCCGAUCUCAUUUCGAACUCGGCAGUUAAGAAGGCUACCGUUCUUGGUUGUACUGCAUUGCGCGGGAACCCAAGGAAACUGUCCACC
rnacentral:rRNA from 1 species